rnacentral:lncRNA from 1 species
UUCAAAGAAUUAAUGUAUCUUCCAACAAUAAAAUCACUUCUGAUUUUAAUCUAGGAAAACCUAAAUUGUGGCUAUGGAUCCAAAGCUGUUUGUUUCUUUGAAUAUCAAUAUUUUCAACAGGAUCUUGUAUUUAAAAUUCCCACCUACAUUGUUAAAUAUGUUAUUUUUUCAUAUCUCUUUUGGUUUUGAUAAUCUGAAGUGUUUUUUUC